UACAGUUUUACAGCAUAAAUUUCAUUGUUUACUAAAACAUUACAAAAACGAAUUGUUUUUGUAUUCAACGCGAUUCGUAAUCUGUUAUGUUGAACUAUCGUAACAAUGACCGUGACAAUGGACGUUCAUUGUGGCAUUAAGCAAUUAUAGUUUGAGAAACGCUGGCAAUGAAACCGAAGAGAGAAGUGUUGUGAGUUGUUAGCGGGUAAAGUGGGACGGUGUGCCACAUCGAUGGUAGGAAAAGCGAGGGUAGUAAGAAGCCAGGUGAAGAGCGAGGUCGAAAAGAAAAUAGUCGAAGCUGGAAAUAAUGAUCCGGCACCGAUGGAUUGAGAGAUGAUCACCGUGGAUGCAACAAGUUGUAUCGUAACGAUUAUGAUUCGUUUUCGCUCGAAUUGCAUUUCCGAUUUAUCACCUGAUAAUUUGUUUGUUUUCACUGAGAAGAAAAAAUGGAAAACGAUAAAAAAAAAUAUACCGGAUAAUAUACCGGAAGUUAUGAUCACAAAUAAUCGAACAUGAGUUGACACGUACGAUGAUUGGACGUUGAGGAAGCACUGCGUGUUCUGCACACAAUUAGGUCAUUGUCCUUCAUUUAUACUCGCAACCGGCGAACGUAUCAUCGAAGGCCGAAACGUUGUUCCUCCUACUCUGAUGGAUAACAGCUGCUUCAAAACGCGGAAAUGUAACUGGGAAAAGUCAUAGGUUCCACGAAAUAAGAAUUCCAAAUUCUACGAUUCUUCAACGCAAGUACAAAGUAUCAAGUAAAUGAAAUUAAUUGGAUCACAUGAAUAGAUCACAUCUUUUCAUCUUUUAUCUUCUAUCUUCAUUUUCUAAAUAUUUUCCAACUGAUAAAAUUGUAAAAUAGAUACAAAAAUAGAUUAUCAUUGAUGUUAACAUUUUGAUUUGUAAAAAAUUCUUUAAUUCUUUAAAAUUUCUUCGAGUUUUUAAAUUUUUUAUAAAAGUUUUUUUAUGUUAUUUUAUUUAGUUUACUUUCUUUUCUCGUACACAUACUUCUUCCGACUUAAAGAAGUAAAGUCAUGUAUAGUGAAUGUCUUCCAGAAACGGUACUUUGACAAAGACGCCUUUAGAGAAAAGAAAAGAUAACACACAGGUCUAUUUCGAGAUACAAUCUUACAUCAGUUUCAAACCGAAGUCAAUGUACAAUUAAAAUAGUAAAUUUAUAAUUAAUCCAUAAAAACGUGUUAACAAUUUAUCGUUAACGACGUCCGAUUGUUUCGACGAUGGAUGGCACUUUUGUAAAUCUGUUACAAUCAGCCGAAAAGGAAUUCGAUGACAGGAAAGUCGAUUUGCGAUUGUAUCAAAGGCCCUUUGCGAGUCGACAGAUGGACAGAACGAUCGAAGACCGGUCAAACGCCGUUUCUCUCCAUAUCCUGCUACUGGAUUCCCUCGUGAGGACAUACUUGUGUGCGUGGAUACGCACGGACCAACAUGUGUGAUCCAGUGACCCACUAUAUUCAUCGGUGGCUACAAAAUUUCAAUCUAUGGAUAAAAUUGAUGAUAUAAAGAAAGAUUAAAAUAAAACAAAAUCAACUUAAAACAAAAAACAAUAUCAUUUAUAUUGAUAUUCCAUUUAUACAAGAGUAUAUACAUUACGACGAUUAAUUAGAAC